CUGGACUGUGGACAAAGGCCACCCUGAGUGCCACACUCCUGAGAGCAUGGCCCUGGGAGCUAGACAGCCCUAGGCCUAACGCUGUCACCUCUGCCUACUGUGGAACACUAUGGCCCAGUAGCCAAGCCCCUCGGAGCUCAUCUUCGGGGUUGUAAGAUGUCCUCGAGGGACCAACUCAGAAUUCAACAAGGACUCUCUCUUUGGGAGCUGGAAUCACCUGUGCUAUAUCUCAAGAGGAAGCCAAGACUCUGCAUUCACGGCCUUUCUGCGUCUCCGCCCCUCCCCGGUCCCCCUCUCUGGUCAGGCACCCAGGGCAGCCCUCUUUUCUGAUCCCUGCUCCUCUUGCCCACCCUGUCCACAGCUGAAAGUUUCAGGCUGAAGAACGGACAAGUCACCUAUGGAUAGCCCCGCCCGAGCCCCACCAUUCCA